CGUAACAAGGUUUCCGUAGGUGAACCUGCGGAAGGAUCAUUACCUAGAGUUUGUAGACUUCGGUCUGCUACCUCUUACCCAUGUCUUUUGAGUACCUUCGUUUCCUCGGCGGGUCCGCCCGCCGAUUGGACAACAUUCAAACCCUUUGCAGUUGCAAUCAGCGUCUGAAAAAACAUAAUAGUUACAACUUUCAACAACGGAUCUCUUGGUUCUGGCAUCGAUGAAGAACGCAGCGAAAUGCGAUAAGUAGUGUGAAUUGCAGAAUUCAGUGAAUCAUCGAAUCUUUGAACGCACAUUGCGCCCCUUGGUAUUCCAUGGGGCAUGCCUGUUCGAGCGUCAUUUGUACCUUCAAGCUCUGCUUGGUGUUGGGUGUUUGUCUCGCCUCUGCGCGUAGACUCGCCUUAAAACAAUUGGCAGCCGGCGUAUUGAUUUCGGAGCGCAGUACAUCUCGCGCUCUGCACUCAUAACGACGACGUCCAAAAGUACAUUUUUACACUCUUGACCUCGGAUCAGGUAGGGAUACCCGCUGAACUUAAGCAUAUCA
rnacentral:rRNA from 1 species